UCGAUUUUGCUAACAUAAAUAAAUAAAAUAAUUAUAUAAAUGACAUUAAGCAUAUCCUUCACAUUAAGAGACUAUGUUGUGUUUUAUUGGUUUACUAAUUUAUUCGAUCAAUGUACAUGUAUACAAAGUCAUUGUUAAUUUGAUUGAGGGAUUGAGACCUAAAUAGGUCACUAAAAACUUGUAUUGAAUUGCAUAUUUACUUUUGUUUUACACAAACACCACAUAUCAUGCAUAUUGUGUAAAUGAUAAAUUGUCAACGUAUGGUUCCAAAUUUCAGCUUUUAUGAAUAUUUUACAGAAUACAAUCUAAAGAGAGACACUUUUGACAUCUUAAAUUUGUUUAAUUUAUAUUGAACAAAUAAGCCGUGUUGUGGAAGUUCGCGACUAGCAACUGCUCUUGUGGUCCUCUAUAAUGAAGCGAUGCAGGAUAAUCAAGGCCAUCACUUGCUGUCAAAACUUCUCGAUGUCGCUUUCCAUCAGGUGCGAUAACUACAACAUUGUGUGGAUUGAGCCCUGUCACGUACACCCUUCCGUCAAUAUCUACAUCAAUACCUUGAGGAUAUUUCAAAACGUUUUCGUUACGGAAAUUCCAUUGUAUUUCACCUUGUAGAUUAUAACAUGUGACAGUGUUUGUUUUAUUGUUUGUAUGGUAUAUAUUGUCCCUCAAUGUUGCAAUGUUACAUUGACCGGGCAUUUUGUCUCGGACUAUGUCACGUAUAGACUCGUCCUCUAGAUUGAUCAUUCGUAUACCUUUAGAGCCAGCGGAAUAAAUCAAUCGAUUAUCUUUCAGUGCAAUGCCAAAACUAUUCGAAUCCAGUGAAAUUGUUUUCUUGAUUUGUUUCUUCUCCAAGUCUAUAAUAGUAAUACACUUCCUAUCUGAAUGACCAGAUGUAACAGCCAAUGUAUUGUCCUCACUGAUAAACACUAAAUCAAACGGGUUAAACGGUACCUUCACCUCAAAGUCUUUUAAUCCUUUCAGGUUAAACACAAUUACCUUAGAAUCCGAGUUGUAAGUAAAUGCCAUUCUACCAUCCGGAAACAUGCAACAUCCGUAGAUUGAGUUUCCUCGAGCGUUGAUAGUAUUUUGUUUCGUUAACGUUAUAUUUUCGAUGGGUCUUGAUUGAACGGUCGGUACCAUCAUUUGAGCUUGUUUAGCCUUUUUCCUAGUAAUAACUAUAUCGCAAGAUUUAGCUUCAAUACGCACAUCUCCAAAACUUAUGAUAUCGGACAUGAUAUUCUGGAUAGAGGUGUUGAUCUUAUAUGAAAGAGAAGUUUUGGUGAAAAUCUUGUCUUCUUCAAGCGACUGUAAGAAUUUAUUUUUGCUAUAGACGUCCCCUUCUAUUUGCUUUAUUGAAAGAAAGACUUGAAGGUCUGUUGCAUGUUGUUUAAUAUUCAUAAUACUUCUCUUGCAUUCUGCUAUAUCCUUUUCAUUAUUUUCUAAUGAUGACAAUAACUGACCAAUUUUCGACUUUUCGUUUUCUUCUACUGCAUACAGUUGUUUAAUUAAAUCCUCUUGUAGUUUGUCAAGAUGGUUGUUGAUCUUUAUUCUGGUCAUCUUUAUUUCUUUUUCUAUUUCCUUUCUACUUUCUUUUAAUGUCGUCAGGUUGUCCUGUUGAUGCUGACGAAUCUUCUGUAGAUUUUCUGCAACUUCAAAUAAUGUUUCCUCUAUUUCGCAAACGGCAUUGGAGGUUUUGACAUUGUGAAUGACGUCAUCUAAUUCGACGAAAUCUUGGCAUUCUUUAUGGAUUUCCACGAUACAUUUGCUGCAGCAGGGGCAUUCAUGCUUCUGGCAAUAAAAUUGAUACUUUUUAACGUGUUUACUACAGUUUUGACUAAUCAUUAGUACAUCAGCUGGUAAUUUCGUGUAUUCAGUAAUUGUAAUCACUUUAUGGUUUCUGGUUCCUUUUGACAAACUGUGAUGCUCCUGGCAUUCUGCACAUAGUCCCUCGUCACAUUCUGAACACCAGACUAUGGAUGGUUUGGUGAUGUGACGGAGUUCACAAACACCACAGCUCAUAGAAGCUGCUGCCAUUUCACACACACUGCAAAUAACAAU
rnacentral:lncRNA from 1 species